UACGGAGGGUGCGAGCGUUAAUCGGAAUUACUGGGCGUAAAGCGUGCGUAGGCGGUUGGUUAAGUCAGAUGUGAAAGCCCUAGGCUCAACCUGGGAACGGCAUUUGAAACUGGCCAGCUAGAGUUAGGUAGAGGGGAGCGGAAUUUCAGGUGUAGCGGUGAAAUGCGUAGAUACCUGAAGGAACACCAGUGGCGAAGGCGGCUCCCUGGACCCAAACUGACGCUGAGGUACGAAAGCGUGGGUAGCAAACAGG
rnacentral:rRNA from 1 species